rnacentral:rRNA from 1 species
GAUGAACGCUAGCGGCAGGCCUAAUACAUGCAAGCCGAACGGCAAGCUUUGUAGCAAUACGGAGCCUAGAGUGGCGUAAGGGUGCGUAACACGUAUGCAAUCUACCCUCAACAGGAGAAUAGCUCCCCGAAAGGGGAAUUAAUGUUCCAUAGGAUCAUGGUGCGGCAUCGCACAGUGAUUAAACCGCAAGGGGUUGAGGAUGAGCAUGCGCANGAUUAGUUAGUUGGCGGGUAACGGCCACCAAGACGAUGAUCAUUAGGGGAACUGAGAGGUUGA